UCUUGUUUCAAAUGCAGAAAUCAUGAGUAUUUAUCUUGUAAAUUUUCAAAAUUUGAACACACACAUGUGGUGUGGAACAAACAACCUGAUCAAGAAACAGAAAAUUACAAAGAGAAGCUACUCACAUGUACCCAUCUCACUUCUAACCCCAUGCCAUGGAUAAGCACUGUCCUGACUUCUGAAACUAUAGCAUGACAACAACACAUGUGCCAUGGUGUGUUUUCAUCAGAAGACUCAUAUCUAGUUGACUCUCCUUCUGUGAUAUUAGCAACCAUUACAGACCAUUGUCUACAUCAGUGCCACUCAAAUUGUGUUCUGUGGGCCCACCUUCGUACCACCUAGAAGCUUAUAAGAAAUGCAAAUCAGUGUCUCCACCCCAGACAGGUAAAUCACAAUCUCUGGAGGUGGUGCCUAGAAGUCUUUUAA
rnacentral:lncRNA from 1 species